AAGAAAUUGCAACUAUGGACAGUGUGGGAAGAGGAGGCACAAGCCCGCACAGAUCCCUGGGAUGCCAGGAGCUCAGCAGGUCUGGGAGGUCGGGGAAGCUUUUUUGACAAAGUGGACUUGAGCCGAUGUAUAAUGGAGCUCCUUGUGCAGGGGACGGGGGAGCUGCUGAGAGGGGAAGCAUCUGUAAAGGCCUGGUGGCAGGAGGUGAUGCCAGGAGUAUGAGCUGCAGAGCAUGGCAUGCAAGGGACAUCUGCAAGACGGGGUAGGAGCAGGGGAGCCCCCCCCCAAGGAUUGUGCUGAGGGUGAGCUUUCUGUCUCUUCAGGAAGCCCUAGAAGGUAUGCCAGCGGUGGGCCAGGCGGCUGGGUUUGCUGUGUGUUUCCAACACAGCAUCUGACUGCCUGUAGGGGCGGGGGACCGUGAGCAGGAGCUGAGUGGGCAGGGCACACCUGGGGAAGAGCCUGUGGGCUGCGUGUCCUCUGUCUUCUCUCUCAUCAGGCCCUGAUGCUCUGCCUCCCUAGGAUUCCACAGUUGUCCCUUGCCCCCUGACGCUGAGUGUCUUCCUCACCUGGGGUUAUGCUAAGCUCUGCUUCUCCUCAUUGCUCAUUGCUAGGUUUCCUGCCAAACCUUCAGAUGCUGGAACUUGAAGGAAACCAGGAAGCCAGCUCUAAAUGGCAGGGGUCUGUAGGCUCUGCAGAUGGUUAGAAGCCCCCUGAAGGCAGACAUGAGGGGUACCCCUCGGUCUGCUCAUCUCUUAAUUCCGCACGCCUGGCAGUGUAUGUCACAUGUGGCGGGGAGCCAGAAUCAGUUGUUGUGAGGUUCCAUGUUAAUAUCCUGCCAGGUCACACUGGGAGUGGGUUGCACCACAGACAGGUAAGCGUCCUUUACGGCACGCAGAGGGGCUGUCCGCACAAGGGAGAAACCAGCAGAAGGGCCGCAUUCCACUCCUGUCUGGGAAAAUCAUGUCCAGCUCUGGAGACAUCUGGUGUGAGCCCAGAGGCUUGGAACAGACAUUCGGUCAUCCUGGAUGCCGUGGCUGUGCCUCAAAAGGUGGACGAUGGUGCCUCUUCAGCUCCACUAGAUCACCUCCCCAGUGGCUUCCUGUCUUCUCCAGAAAACGCAUUUCUCCAACCAGAGUAAAAAGAAGAUCAUGGCCAUGGAAAGAAUAGGUCAAUUAUAGGUGAGCAAUUUGUCCUCUCUCCAAAUAAAGUGUAUACUUUUGAGAGCAGAAUACCGUGUACAAGAGAGCUGGGUCACAUUCAAGUGGGCGAAGAAUCUGGAGAAGAAGCCACAGAAAUAUGGACCCACUGGAUACAGAGUGCAGCAAGGGCUGCGGCUGGGAGCAUGGUACCCGUGGAGCCCCUCCCAACCUGCGCAUGGCUGGCUUCUUUCAGUGCCUUUUCUUUUCAUCUCUGAAAAAAUUAAAAUGUAUCCAGCAUUUAAAAAGGAAAUCAGUUUGUUUAAAAAUCCCAUAACUGCCUUCAAUUCUAUAAUCUUUUGUUUUUCAGCUUUUGCCUAAAACAUAUACAUAUUAUGUUCAUCUUUUAGGAAUGAUUUCCUUAAUAGUCUCUGAAGUUAGAGUCAUGAAAAUACAAAAAAAUAAAAAAUGGUCGAUUUUAUUUGUAAAGGUGAAAUCUAAUAUUCAAAUUGUUAACACUUUUAGAAAAAAAAGAGUUCUUUUUUACUAGCUACCUUAAAUUAUUUGAUGAAAAAAAGUGAAGUACAUAUUUUUCAAAAAAAGAAAUAAAUACAGAAAAAUUAAAAACUCUCUGGGAUCUCCUUUCCCAAUCAGCCCUGAGCUUAAACGGACAGGCUGGAUUAAGACGCUUUCCCAUAGGUUGUGACCGGGGAUUUAUUUGUGGCUCAUAUGUCCCCAAGGAGUCCACCAAAGAAGAAGCGGAGGCCAGACAAAGCAAAAACGGCCGGAAAGGACACAACAGGAAGACACCUCUCUGAGCUGAGGCCAGAGUCUGCAGACUGCAAGAACACUGCUGUUACUAGUCAGUCUACGGGCCGUGGGGACGACGUAGCCAUUGCCUGGUAACUUUUUCAGUGAUCAGAAUAAGAAGAAACUGCCACAUAUUCUUAGAAAAGAAAAAUAAAAUAUUGCCUUUUUUUUUUCUAAAGGGACAAAACUAACCUUGGUCCAGAAUUUUUAUCCAUAAUAUGAAGAAGGACAUUUAAUAGCAAAGCUGCUUAUUUGGGGUCUUAAACAAUUAUCUCAGAGAUUUUAUUCAUACCUCACGAAGUUGUUCACAUACAUACAGUCACACAGACACACCUACAUUCUCAUACACCUGCACUCACAUUCACACACACUAAGAUUGUGCCAGGUUGCAGAUCCUUACCAUGCAGGUGAGCGCCCCAGGACAUCAUUUGAGGUUGAGUCUAGAUCGAAGCAAAUUUAACCGUGGUGGUAACUUAAAAAAAAAAAAGAUAGAGGAGCCAUCACAGAAGACUGGUGGUUAGUAACAAACUUGGUGGAAUUGAUUAAGGUCUAAUAAUUCUUACAUUACAUACAAAACACUAUCUCCAAAUCAG
ensembl:lincRNA